UAGGAAACUAUUUUAUAGAAUCACAUCAUCUCAGAACCACAAUUGUGAAUCCUUUUCCUUCAAAGGAAUUUACAAAUCAGUAAUGGUCUUGUCUAUUAUCAUUGGGGUUUUAUAUUGUUUCUCUUUUUGGUGAAACUGGGUGGUUGAACUGGGGCUUUCUUUGAGCUUCCUUGGCCAGAAUGCUACCUCUUGUAUCAUGUUCCUAUGACUUUUUUUUUCAUUAGCCUUCCAUUUUUCACUCAGGGCUGGCCUUAAUCCAGGAUCCUCUGAUUGUCUCCCAUAGGAUUACACAUGUUACAUGUGAGACUUCUUUGUGAGGAACUUUAUACUUAGUGAUUAAACUUUCAAAAGGUGGAUAUUGCUAUCUCUACCUCAUGGAAAAAGUUUUAUUAAGCAUUAUUUCUCUUUAAGCAUGAUAAAAAUGGAGAAAAAUUAAUGUCCUAACCAUUUGAAAUAGAUUUGACUCUAAUAAAUAUAGCUAUGUCAUUUAACAAAUCUGGAAGAAGUGAGAGAUCAUCAAUACCUUUCCAUCUGUUUUCUUACUCUUGUUAAGGAAAUUCUUAUGAACUCCUUCCUAUUACUAAUAACAUGAGCCCCUUUAGUAAGUAACUGUUAUACUAGAAAUGCAUUCCAAGUAUUUGGUUUUUGUUUGUUUUUUUCGCUUUUUGCAGUUCUGGGAUUUAAAUCCACAGCCUCACACAUGUAUAGCAAGUACUGUAAUGCAAAGCUCCACCAGAAAAA